GAGUUUGAUUCUGGCUCAGGAUGAACGCUGGCGGCAUGCCUAACACAUGCAAGUUGAACGAGAAGUUCUGGAGGGAGUCUUCGGACGAACGAAGGAAUGGAAAGUAGCGAACGGGUGAGUAACGCGUGGGCAACCAACCUUACACAGGGGGAUAACGCAGAGAAAUUUGCGCUAAUACCGCAUAAGCGCACAGUACCGCAUGGUACGGUGUGAAAAACUCCGGUGGUGUAAGACGGGCCCGCGUCUGAUUAGUUAGUUGGUGAGGUAAAAGCUCACCAAGGCGACGAUCAGUAGCCGACCUGAGAGGGUGAUCGGCCACAUUGGGACUGAGACACGGCCCAAACUCCUACGGGAGGCAGCAGUGGGGGAUAUUGCACAAUGGAGGGAACUCUGAUGCAGCAAUGCCGCGUGAAGGAAGACGGUUUUCGGAUUGUAAACUUCUAUCAGCAGGGAAGAAAAUGACGUACCUGACUAAGAGCCCCG
rnacentral:rRNA from 1 species